GUGUCAGCCGCCGCGGUAAUACGGGAGUGGCAAGCGUUAUCCGGAAUUAUUGGGCGUAAAGCGUCCGCAGGCGGCUUUUCAAGUCUGCUGUUAAAGCGUGGAGCUUAACUCCAUCAUGGCAGUGGAAACUGAAAGGCUUGAGUAUGGUAGGGGCAGAGGGAAUUCCCGGUGUAGCGGUGAAAUGCGUAGAUAUCGGGAAGAACACCAGUGGCGAAGGCGCUCUGCUGGGCCAUUACUGACGCUCAUGGACGAAAGCCAGGGGAGCGAAAGGGAUUAGAUACCCCUGUAGUCCUGGCCGUAAACGAUGAACACUAGGUGUCGGGGGAAUCGACCCCUUCGGUGUCGUAGCUAACGCGUUAAGUGUUCCGCCUGGGGAGUACGCACGCAAGUGUGAAACUCAAAGGAAUUGACGGGGGCCCGCACAAGCGGUGGAGUAUGUGGUUUAAUUCGAUGCAACGCGAAGAACCUUACCAGGGUUUGACAUCCUGCGAACCUCUUAGAAAUUUGAGGGUGCCUUCGGGAAUGCAGUGACAGGUGGUGCAUGGCUGUCGUCAGCUCGUGUCGUGAGAUGUUGGGUUAAGUCCCGCAACGAGCGCAACCCACGUUUUUAGUUGCCAGCAUUUAGUUGGGCACUCUAGAAAGACCGCCGGUGAUAAACCGGAGGAAGGUGUGGAUGACGUCAAGUCAUCAUGCCCCUUACACCCUGGGCUACACACGUACUACAAUGCUACGGACAAAGGGCAGCAAACUCGCGAGAGCUAGCAAAUCCCAUAAACCGUGGCUCAGUUCAGAUCGUAGGCUGCAACUCGCCUACGUGAAGUAGGAAUCGCUAGUAAUCGCAGGUCAGCAUACUGCGGUGAAUACGUUCCCGGGCCUUGCACACACCGCCCGUC
rnacentral:rRNA from 1 species